rnacentral:sRNA from 1 species
GGGAAGUGGCCGGGUCAGUGCCCAUGUAAGGAAGGCUAUGCAGGAGAAAAAUGUGAUCGCUGCCAACUUGGCUAUAAGGAUUACCCGACCUGUGUCUCCUGUGGGUGCAACCCAGCGGGUAGUGCCAGUGAUGAGCCCUGCACAGGGCCCUGUGUUUGUAAGGAAAACGUUGAGGGGAAGGCCUGUGAUCGCUGCAAGCCAGGAUUCUAUAACUUGAAGGAAAAAAACCCCCGGGGCUGCUCCGAGUGCUUCUGCUUUGGCGUUUCUGAUGUCUGCAGCAGCCUCUCUUGGCCUGUUGGUCAGGUGGGAGGCGCCAUCUGCGAGGCGGGAUUUAACGAGCAGGUCGUAUUGCACAAGCUUGGCACGAGCUGUGUGAGGAGGAAAUGAGGAUGACUUCCCCUGUGACACCACUCUCAUCCCUAUGCAAUGAUACUGACGUGGGUCAAAGGCAGCCGUCUGCCUCUCAAGUUUCUUUGUAGGUCAUUUGCUUACUCCCACACACAUUUCUCUAUAGAAAAAACAGGAUGAUGUGGCACUAGAGAA